CUACGGGUUGCAGCAGUGAGGAAUUUUGCGCAAUGGGGGAAACCCUGACGCAGCAACGCCGCGUGAGUGAUGAAGGCCUUUGGGUCGUAAAGCUCUGUCAAGUGGGAAGAACGUGCCUAUGGCUAAUAUCUGUAGGUAUUGACGGUACCACUGAAGGAAGCACCGGCUAGACUCCGUGCCAGCAGCCGCGGUAAUACGGAGGGUGCAAGCGUUAUUCGGAUUUACUGGGCGUAAAGCGCGCGCAGGCGGUUUUGUAAGUCGGAUGUGAAAGCCCCGGGCUUAACCAGGGAAGUGCAUUCGAUACUGCAUAACUUGAGUAUGGGAGAGGGAAGCGGAAUUCCUGGUGUAGAGGUGAAAUUCGUAGAUAUCAGGAGGAACAUCGGUGGCGAAGGCGGCUUCCUGGACCAAUACUGACGCUGAGGCGCGAAGGCGUGGGGAGCAAACAGGAUUAGAUACCCUAGUAGUC
rnacentral:rRNA from 1 species